CUGCAGCUGCGAAUUGGAAUGCGCGGAGGAGGAAAUGGAGUUGGGAUCUUCCUGUUGAGCGAUGAAAUUAGCUAGGCGUGAAGCAGUGCACCCCAUUUUUGGGAGAUUUUACAAAGUUGAGAACUAACCACGGAAAGUGAAAGAUGGUCCUUUUUUCCUUCCUUGCUUUCUCUCUCCGUUAUGGAUGUCCAAGUACAGUGAUUGAUUGAAGCUUUUCCCCUUUUUUAUCUCUCUGCAACCUUUCUUCAGUAAGUUUGA
rnacentral:lncRNA from 1 species